GGCACGAUGGCCGAGUGGUUAAGGCGACAGAUUCGAAUUAAUCGCCAUCUGUUCCGGUUUCCGGGCGCAGGUUCAAAUCCUGCUCGUGUCG